UAAGAGGUCGCAAAAACAAAAAGUAGGAUACUGGAGCUCGCAACGAAGAAGGUAUGAGAAAGGUGUUUUUGCCGAAAUAGUUUUUGGGGCGAAACAAAAAUUAUUGGGCUGGUUUUUAAGAAGAAUCGGACUGUCAUUUGCAAAAAUGGUGUGCUUAC
rnacentral:ncRNA from 1 species